AGCUACCAGAAGAGAAGUAUUAUCUCGUUGAUUCAGGAUAUCCAAAUGAGUAUGGUUACUUGGGUCCAUAUAGAGGGGAGAGAUAUCAUCUUCCAGAAUUUCAUCGGCGAGGACAACCACGAA